rnacentral:rRNA from 1 species
UACGUAGGGUGCAAGCGUUAAUCGGAAUACUGGGCGUAAAGCGUGCGCAGGCGGCUUUGCAAGACAGAUGUGAAAUCCCCCGGGCUUAACCUGGGAACUGCAUUUGUGACUGCAUGGCUGGAGUGCGGGCAGAGGGGGGAUGGAAUUCCGCGUGUAGCAGUGAAAUGCGUAGAUAUGCGGAGGAACACCGAUGGCGAAGGGCAAUCCCCUGGGCCUGGCACUGACGCUCAUGCACGAAAGCGUGGG